GUGCGGCCUGAAAAACAGUGCUGCGCCUUGGUUACAAACGACAAUAAUUUACGGCGCAGCCAUAAUUUCCCUGGUGUUGGCGCAGUAUUCGCGCACCCCGGUUAAUC
rnacentral:sRNA from 1 species